rnacentral:ncRNA from 1 species
AAAUCGGCGAUGACGGGAAGCAGUAGGCGGUCAGCGGAUGCCAAGAGAGGGCGCGGCAGGUGUAAGCGCCCGUGAUGCCCCGCCCAAGUCGUCCCUGAGCUUCGCGCUGAACUGACAGUAGGCCGCGGCGGUUUGCCCUCCGUUACCGGGGCGGGGUGUUGCUGCACCCAUGAGCGCGGGAGCGAUCCCGAAUACAGGUGGUACCACGGACAUUAUGUUCGCCCUGUUU